rnacentral:snRNA from 1 species
GGAUGUGAAAGUGAUCUGACUGUGACAUCUGUCACCCCUUUGAUCACCAGGGUUGAUUUAGCUGAUCUGGCUGUUUAGGUGGGUGCCCCUUCCUCCCUCAAUGCUCCAUGUGUGUCCCUCCCAAAGCUGCACUCUUGGGCAAAGAGGAUGGGGAUUGCCCAGGGAGGUGGUGGUGUCACCAUCCUUGGAAGUGU